CCAUUUUUCUAAAAUUUUAGUAUUCUUUUAAAAAAUCUUCUCUGAAACUACGGGGCCAAAUUUAACCAAACUUGGCCACAAUCAUCAUUAGGGUAUCUAGUUUAAAAAAUGUGUGGCUUGACUCUGCCAACCAACCAAGAUGGCCACCAUGGCUAAUUAUUGAACAUAGGGGUAAAAUGUAGAUUUUGGCUUAUAACUCUGUAACCAAAGCAUUUAGAGCAAAUCUGACAUGGGGUAAAAUUGUAUAUCAGGUCAAGAUCUAUCUGCCCUGUAAUUUUCAGACAAAACAGACAAACUGUUGUUGGGUUGCUGCCCC
rnacentral:lncRNA from 1 species